GGUGCAGAAUGCGAAGCGGUCGAGCAAUCAGGCUUUCAAUCUGAUGAAUAGCGGGUUCGAGUCCCGUCUGCACUUCCA
rnacentral:tRNA from 1 species